CGGAAAGGUUCUCAGUGCGCUCUCUAUCAAGUGCUAUGAGUCUUGAUAAGUUGGAGAAGAGCCCAAGAGAAAUUUUUCAUCCCUUGAUAUAAAAGGAUUUAUUGGUUCUGGAAGAACAAGAGGGAAGUACAAGCCUAACUACUUCUAGCUCACAGGCCCGUCCAGUGAACCCAGGGACCGGUGAAUUUUAACUUUGGAGUCCCCUAUGCUAAGGAUGCUCAGCUUACAGGUGAUGAAAUGUUCAGUAAUGUAUUUGCUGCAGCUCUGCUUACCCAAGCUUUGGGUUCCUUCUGUCCCACUGGGAGUUGCCCAGUUUGGUUGCAUCUGGUGAAAUUCACCCUGAGACCUUACAGAACUAGCUCCAACUACGUGAGAGCCAUUUGCAGUUCUCUCCAGACACCUGGAGAAUGGGUGACGUUUCUGAGGAUCCGGCGAGCGUGCUUCUAUCAAAACUCAGUCUGUGAAAUUCCUGGGGAAAACCCUUCUGUGUCCUGAAGGGUUCAAACUCUGGGAAAGACUCUCGUAUCCUUGUCGUCGGGCUCGGUGCUGUCCAAGAAGAUACAGAGACUAAAAAAAUCAUAAGAAGCAAAAUAUGACUGCAGGGAAAAGAAGCUGGAGAGAACAGAAGACUCAUCACGGCGGGACAGCGUGAGGACUGAAAGUGUAAGAAGAUGUGGAGGGAAAGAGAGAAUCUGACAGGAGCAGCGAACGCACGAGUGCAGGAAUUUUGCUUUUUGCUUGGAUGUAAACUCAGGAGUUGAGAGGAAUUUGGGAGUGAGAAGGGACAUUUCAGAAGGAGAAGAAGAAAAAGAGGUUGUUGUUGUUGUUACAGUCCUGGCAAAAUCUUUUGUUCUAGCUAAUAAAAGAAGUUAGUUUAAAAAACAAAAAGGAAAAAAUGUAGUGUUUUUUUUUUCCUUCACUAUGAUAUUCAUUGGUGGUAUAUGGUGUGUUGUUUCAUUUCUUGGUAUUAUUAACUCUGUGUAAAUUGUUUUUUGAGUGAAGCUGACUUUCUGGAUGGGUUGGUUUGUAUUUGAGGCAGGAUUAAUUUCAGUAGGGUUCUUUCAUAGAUUUCUGAUGGGUAUUACUGGGAUUUUGGUUUUGUUUACUGUAUGUAUGAACCUAGAGCUUUGGUAGGGCCAGCUGGGCUGCUGGAGUUUUGGGUGUGAAUUUAUUAGAUGGCUUUUGUUAGAUGCAGUUUUUAAUUUUUGAAAUGUUUUUCAAUGUAGUGGUUUUAAGGUGGUUUUUAAGAA